rnacentral:rRNA from 1 species
UACAGAGGUCCCAAGCGUUGUUCGGAUUCACUGGGCGUAAAGGGUGCGUAGGUGGCCGGGUAAGUCUGAUGUGAAAUCUCCAAGCUCAACUUGGAAACGGCAUCGGAUACUAUCCGGCUCGAGGAUCGGAGGGGAGACUGGAAUACUUGGUGUAGCAGUGAAAUGCGUAGAUAUCAAGUGGAACACCAGUGGCGAAGGCGAGUCUCUGGACGAUUCCUGACGCUGAGGCACGAAAGCCAGGGGAGCAAAC